AUUUCUAGAAGAUGGAAGAGCAGUAAAGGAUCUUUGAAGAGCAGAAUGCUCCGACUCGACAGAGACCAAAGCUGCGUCAGUGUCUCCAGAUGAAAAGU
rnacentral:snoRNA from 1 species